CCCCCAAUUUUCCAAAGGUUGACCUCGGAUCAGGUAGGAAUACCCGCUGAACUUAAGCAUAUCAAUAAGCGGAGGAAAAGAAACCAACAGGGAUUGCCUCAGUAACGGCGAGUGAAGCGGCAACAGCUCAAAUUUGAAAUCUGGCCCUAGGCCCGAGUUGUAAUUUGCAGAGGAUGCUUUUGGUGCGGUGCCUUCCAAGUUCCCUAGAACGGGACGCCAGAGAGGGUGAGAGCCCCGUACAGUUGGACACCAAGCCUUUGUAAAGCUCCUUCGACGAGUCGAGUAGUUUGGGAAUGCUGCUCAAAAUGGGAGGUAUAUUUCUUCUAAAGCUAAAUACCGGCCAGAGACCGAUAGCGCACAAGUAGAGUGAUCGAAAGAUGAAAAGCACUUUGAAAAGAGGGUUAAACAGCACGUGAAAUUGUUAAAAGGGAAGCGCUUGUGACCAGACUUGCGUCCGGUGAAUCACCCAGCUCUCGCGGCUGGGGCACUUCGCCGGCUCAGGCCAGCAUCAGCUCGCCGUCGGGGACAAAAGCUUCAGGAACGUAGCUCUCUUCGGGGAGUGUUAUAGCCUGUUGCAUAAUACCCUUCGGCGGGCUGAGGUACGCGCUCCGCAAGGAUGCUGGCAUAAUGGUCAUCAGCGACCCGUCUUGAAACACGGACCAAGGAGUCAACCUUAUGUGCGAGUGUUCGGGUGUCAAACCCCUACGCGUAAUGAAAGUGAACGCAGGUGAGAGCUUCGGCGCAUCAUCGACCGAUCCUGAU
rnacentral:rRNA from 1 species